rnacentral:ncRNA from 1 species
GAGGCAGCAGUGAGGAAUCUUCCGCAAUGGGCGAAAGCCUGACGGAGCGACACCGCGUGAAGGAUGAAGCCAUUUUUUGGUGUAAACUUCUGUUGUGAGGGAAGAAAUUUUUGACGGUACCUCACGAGAAAGCAUCGGCUAAUUCUGUGCCAGCAGCCGCGGUAAGACAGAAGAUGCAAGCGUUACUCGGAAUUACUGGGCGUAAAGGGUCCGCAGGUGACUUGUCACGUCUGGGGUUAAAGCACGUCGCUCAACGGCGUGUAUGUCCCGGAAACGAACAGGAUAGAGCCAUUCAGAGGUAUCUGGAAUGCUGUGUGUAGGGGUAAAAUCCGUUGAUCCACAGUGGAACGCCAAAAGCGAAAGCAGGAUACUGGGAAUGUGCUGACACUCAGGGACGAAAGCGUGGGGAGCAAACGGGAUUAGAUACCCCGGUAGUCCACGCCCUAAACGAUGCGUGCCCGGUGUAGGAACUUCAAUCAGUUCCUGUGCCUCAAGCUAACGCGGUAAGCACGCCGCCUGGGAAGUACGGUCGCAAGACUAAAACUCAAAGGAAUAGACGGGGACCCACACAAGCGGUGGAGCAUGGGGUUUAAUUCGAUACUAAGCGAAGAACCUCACCCAGGCUUGACAUCUCGGGAAGGUCUAAGAAAUUAGACUGUGCCGCAAGGAACCCGAAGACAGGCGCUGCACGGUCGUCGUCAGCUCGUGCCUUGAGGUGUACUGUUAAGUCAGCGAACGAGCGCAACCCUCAUCCUCUGUUGUAUUUUCAGGGGAGACUGCCGCCUCCAAGGCGGAGGAAGGUGAGGAUGACGUCAGAUCAGCGUGGCCUUUAUGCUUGGGGCGACACCCGUGCUACAAUGGCCGGUACAAACCGCAGCAAACCCGCGAGGGGGAGCCAAUCGGAAAAAGCCGGUCUCAGUUCGGAUUGAAGUCUGCAACCCGACUUCAUGAAGCCGGAAUCGCUAGUAACCGUGAAUCAGCCAUGUCACGGUGAAUAUGUUCCUGGGUCUUGUACUCACCGCCCGUCAACUCAUGGAAGGUAGAAGCGCCCGAAGGACCGUUACCCGGCACCUUUUUUAUCUACGUUGCCAACAGGCUCCGGUAGAAAAGGUGCUGGGGCGGUACCACGGUGAAACUACUGACUGGGAGUAAGUCGUAACAAGGUAUCCGUAGGAGAACCUGCGGAUGGAACAUUUCCUUA